CGCCAGAUAGCUCAGUUGGUAGAGUACCUGACUAGAGAUUCAGGGGGCCCGGGUUCGAAACUCGGUCUGGUCC
rfam:Crassostrea gigas strain 05x7-T-G4-1.051#20 contig21619, whole genome shotgun sequence.